ACAGUGCCAGCACCGUCGGCCAACACCCAACACUCCUCUCCAGCUAACAGGAACCCGCUCGAAACAUGAUCGCUCUGGCUGUUGUGAGCUGCCUGCUGGUGGUCCUGGCCUCGGGGCUCCCCCAAGAACCUGCGAGCGGUCAUCUCCCUCAACCACAGUUCCACGCUGGCUUCACCCCUGAGGUGGAGCAAGCCACCAGUAACUUCCACGCUGCCUACAACUACCUGGCGGAGUUGGCCCUCCUGGCUCCAGACGACCCAACCACC